AGGGGGGCUGUGGGAAGGGUGGGGACGACCUCUUUAGCAAGGCCUGUUGUGACAGGACAAGGGGGGAUGGUUUUGAACUAAAGAAAGGGAGAUUUAGGCUGGAUAUAAGAAAAAUUUUUUUACAAUGAGGGUGAUGAAACCCUGGCCCAGGUUGCCCACAGAGGUGGUCGAUGCCCCAUCCCUGGAGACAUUCAAGGCCAGGCUGGACGGGGCUCUGAGCAACCUGAUCUAGUGGCAGAUGUCCCUGCUCGCUGCAGGGGGUUGGACUGGGUGGGCUCUAAAGGCCCCUCCCAGCCCAAACCGUUCUGUGAUUCUAUGAAUGGGAGCAAGACCGUGAACAGGGCUGGAUCUUUGAGAAAGGAGCGGGACGCGGGAGCGACCAGGGGCGCCUGGAGGCCCGUUCCGUGGUGGUGGUGGGACCGGGCUCUCCCCGGGCUGAGCCACCGCUGGGUCGGGCUCCGGUGCACCCUGCCCGGAGCACCCUUGGGACCCACAUCCUCUGCUGCCCGGGGCAGGGCGGUGAGGAGGACGUGUCUCCCAGGCACGUGAGCCGCGGCGACUGGGGGCAAGGAAGGCUGGAAUGAUGUUCAAAUGUCCAGCUCACGUCUGGGCUGCCUCUGUCCCUGCUCACAGAAGGACAUUUUGGAAAUUUAGGCUCACAAAGGUGGCUCCAUGUAUGCAAGCUGUGUUGUGCCCACAGAAACACAAGUCCUCUUUUUAUGUGCUGAUGGGAUGUGCUUUUUUAUGGCUUUCAAAGUAGAUCGCCAUGUUGGCGUCAAAUUACGCUGCACUUAAUGGGAGAAUGUUGGUUUACACCAUUGGAGAAUACGGCAAAUUCACUUUUUAAGUAUGAAUCAUUAAGGUCUCCAAAUAUAUUAAAAUAUUCUGCACCCAGUUUGCGUUUGGGAGCGAAGAACCUGCUUCCCCCUUGGCUCUGAGCUGCCCGAGUGCUCACGGCAAACACGCAUUUUCAUUUCAGUUUGCUCAUUAGACAUAUUUGUGCAAAAGCCCCUCCAGGUGACCUGCAGGAAGGUAGGGAAGAUCACGCUUUGAACAUGAGGGGACAGAACCACUUCAAUACAAGCUACAGUCCUUACGUUGGGGAAUAAUUUUCUUACAGACUGCCCUAUACCUCCUUCCUUUACGGGCUGCCACCGGCCUGUCCGGCACAGUAGUUCUGCAUCGGAGGUUUUAGUUCAGCAGGAAUUUCAUACCUUUAAUUUGAACCAUGUUAAGUGUUCAUUAGUGUAGCGCAAACCUGAAUACAAAACACCUCGUUUACUGGAUAACCACACUGUAAACAUGUUUUGCCUGGGUUGUGAUGGAUGAUAAGAUCUAUUCACAGCAUUAUUUACAACAGGAUGCCCAGUGAGUAAUCCUCGCACUGAAACCUGUAACGUCGUGCGCACAGCCAAGAGAAGUGGGAUCCAGAGAUUUCAGUGUUCCGGGCAGUUGAUUGGAACACAGACUUUUCCAGUUAUUGAUCUGCACAGACAGAAAUGCUAAAACCUGUAUGUUUUCAAAGCAUCAUACAACUGUUCAUAACUUUUAUAGGCAUCAAGUUAAAAAAUACUUUGAAGAUCAAACCCCACUUCUUUUUGCCUGGCUUGUGUUUGUUAAAAACCACUGGAACUGUCGGUCUGGUGUUUACAGCAGAGUCCCUUCACUUCACUGCACACUCUGAGCCUGAAGAUGAGCAAGGAGGACUAAGCCUGGACUGGCAGAUCCAGCCACCGCUCCCAGCCACGUGCCUGUCCAGCCACACAAGAAUCUCGGCACCUGCUAAUUCCUGAGCCACCCCGGUGUUCGGAAGGAUGUUUUAAGGAAAAUCAUGUUUUCUAAUGAAUGCAGUGCAGUAAAUUCAGCAAUCGGAGCAGGCAGGAGGUGGUAAGGGCUGACCAGACCUGGAGGCAACUGUGUUCUAUCUCUUCAUAUCAAGGAGAAACAGCGGCAGUGUUGGGAACGGAGCUAUUGCAGAACCGGCUCCCGUCUCACUGCGCUGUAAUCGUGGAGCUAAUUUCAACACAUUUACCCAACUCCUGACACAUUCACCCAUCUUAACACCAAAAUAUGAAGGCUACAGGUAACACAAAAAUUAAACAGCCAGUUGUCCUUACAUUUCUCCAGUCUCUCUCCUUUGUUUCAGUAAGCCCUUAGUCAUGCAAACAGCGCUGGCUAUUGACCUCGGUGGGACCUUUCCAGCAGUAAAAGUCCCCAUGAGCCCAGAGGUAGCAAUACUGGACCUGCUUCCAGUUCACGUUUAAAAAGAAAAAAAAAAAAAAUCUCAUUCAGCGAGACCCUGGGAACCACAGAAAUGAAAGGUGGAAGGGGAAAUGGUGCUACAACAGUAGCUGAUCACUGCUUAGUCCAUUUUCAUUCCAGCCAGUGAGUCAAUGCUGUUUCAGUCCUAAGAAGACCGCUUUGCUUGCCCAGGCUGAGUUUAGCUUUUGGGCCACUGGACUGUCCCAGCAGACCUGCCCCAAGGACUCUGCCUUCGAGCAGCCUCGUGGCCAUCGCUGCUCCUGGGGCCAGAACUGUAGAAACAUAGAAUGUCCCGAGCUGGGAGGGACCCACGAGGACCAUCGAGCCCAGCUCCCGUCCCCGCACAGGACACCCCAAAUUCACACCGUGUCUCUGAGGGCCGUGUCCAAGGGCUUCUGGAACAUCGCCAGGCUGGUGCCGCGAUGCCUCCCUGGGGAGCCUGUGCCAGGGCCCCACCACCCUCUGGGGGAAGGACCUUUCCCUAAUGCCCAGCCUCACCCGCCCCCGGCACAAAUCCUGUCGUGGGGCUACAACCUGGACAAGCCCCCACGACUCCACCUCUGCUGUGUCCGUCCCCUCUGAAAAGGAGGGACGAAGCGUGGCACAACGCGGGGAGUCAGCGGAGCUCCGCGGCCAGGCGUCCGCCAGCUUCCCUCUCCCCGUGCAGAUAAAACGCAGGAAGACGCGAGCGGAGCGGAAGCCGGCACUCAGUGCAUUCCCUCUGCCGCAAGAUCCGAUUCCUCGGUAAGGCAAGCUUAGUGUGGAGCAACCCUUGAAGUUAUUGGACUAAUCAUAUUUCUGGUUCAUUUCCACAAUUACAGAAGAGGUCAAGUGGAUCCUUCAUUUUAAUGAGUUGACUAAAAUCUGGCAGCACGUUGUUGUGAGGCAGAUAAUUUGUAAAAGCAGUGUGUGUUUUAGAUCACAUCUUCAUUCCGUGUUGAAUGGUAAUAAACGAGUACCUUUCUGUGGAAACGCUGCCUCUUAAAAUGUCUGUUAAAUUAACGUCUAUUAUUGUACAUUGUGGUUGUUGUCUGCUCCGCCUGUACACUGGUUUCAUUCUCUGUAUUCUAAUUUUAACUGAUUAUAACUGAGUGGGAAAGUGCAAGACCUCUAGUUGAAAUUCAAAAGAAAAUAAAUGGAUUUUUUAUGGCCUGAAGAAUCUAUUCAUUACUAAAUCAUUUAUCUUUGCAGAAGGAGCGCCUAUAUUCAAUAUGCCUUCCUAUUUCCCUAAUUUUAUUUCUCUGUAAAUAGCUCUGUGCUUGCAAAUAAAUCUCUAUUGAGCUUCUGCUGA